rnacentral:rRNA from 1 species
CACUCCUACGGGAGGCAGCAGUGGGGAAUAUUGCACAAUGGGGGAAACCCUGAUGCAGCAACGCCGCGUGAAGGAAGACGGUUUUCGGAUUGUAAACUUCUGUUCUUAGUGAAGAGGAAUGACGGUACCUGAGUAAGAAGCCCCGGCUAACUACGUGCCAGCAGCCGCGGUAAUACGUAGGGGGCAAGCGUUAUCCGGAUUUACUGGGUGUAAAGGGAGCGUAGACGGCAGUGCAAGUCUGGAGUGAAAGGCGGGGGCUCAACCCCCGGACUGCUCUGGA